CCGGAUGAUCUUAAGGUCCUUUCCAACCCUAACUAUUCUAUGAUUCUAUGAAAUUCCCUAGGAAGAUACUUACAGAAGAAUCCUGUAUUGCCAGUUUGUGUUCUUAAUUGAUAUUUCUGGUCUGCUCUAAGCUUCAAAACCCUCAUCUAUUCCACAAAAUGCAAAUGCCAAACCUGUCUCUCAAACCCUAGCCCUUCUGUUAACUGCAUUAUUUAGUCUGGAGCAACUUUGUUUUGAUCAGAACUAAUUAAAGGAGACCAACAAGAACAAAAUCAAGUUCACUACAAGUUGAUGGGAGCUUAGCUCUGUCAGCAUAGAUACGUUAAAGAUUCUGCUCAAGCUCAAACCCUGGUGGUUCAAUUGAAUUAAGGUCACUUAUCCUAAAUCCUCAUUUUCUCAAUUUCUUUUGUUUAGGAGUAACUUAAUGUUGGAUGGUCACCCCUGAAAAGACAAGCUGUGAUGAAAUGCCUGAUCUUAAGUGUGUAAGUAAGGUUUUCUCUGAAGAAACCUCUCUUUGCUGUUUUAGAAGAAAUGUGGCUACAUUGUGACUCCCAGAGAAAAUUAAGGAAGUUUACUACUUGUUCAUUUAAAUAUACAGGGUAAAGACUUUGGAGACCUCCUGUACCACAUACUGACCUAUUUCCAGGAACAACAACAUGGAAAUGUGCUCCCUUUCCACUAAAUAGGUCCUUACAGCCUUGCAAAUUAACUUGAUGACAUACUUGAGCAGAAAGGAGCACCUGGAAUGGAGAGGAUGGGUAAGGUAUGGGACCUUCACUGUUCCCUUUGCACUGUGCACUUGCUCAGUCAAAACCUCUGGCUUUUGGCAGCUGAUGAUUCCAUGGCACCAGUGGGCACUGAGCAUACCCUGCUUCCCCAGUGCCCAUGCUUGAAGCCACGUGGCUUAUCCAUGCCAAUGAAAGUGAGUGCUUGGCAGGGCUAGGCGUUAGCAAGCAUACAAUUCCCCAAGCCAAGGUACAAUUCUUAGGCAUGUUUUCUUUCUUUGAAUGACAUCUGUUUCCUAGCGGAGAACAGUGGCUAGACUAGAAAAUCAGUGCAAUGUUUGCUCCCCUCAAGAGCCACCAGGCUUCUGCUAUGGCUGUGCAAACAGCACCAGAGAAGCAGGUUUGCUGCUGUGUAAGACAAGAAGCCCCACACAAGUCAACUAAGAGACUUGGUUUAACUUAAGUGAAGGUUUGAUCAACUCCAAACAGAAGCCAAGGAGAAAAUGAAACAAGAAUCUCUACCAGCAGAGAAGUGCAAAGUGAGUCUAUUACACCUGCAGUCUUGAACCAUGCUUCAAGCUUUUCUUCACUUCUGUCCUACUGUUCUGCUGUGCAAGUGAUGUAAGUGGGUAUUUGUUCUAAGCAUGUAGCUUGAAGGGUAGUGGGAAGGUUUUUUUCUCCUUUUGGAUAACCUCACCUGCCAUUGUGUAAACCUACACGGCACCAAUCCAGCCAGACCUAUGA